CGGGAAUAUUAACGCCUUUCAAUAAACUGACCCCUCCUCUCCCACUUCUCCCCCUGCAGAACCCAGCCAGACGUCUCGAAACCAGCCCACCCGCUCAGUUCUGUAUUAUAAAAUCUGACGUUUUCUUCCAUUAUCUAUUGUAAUAUAAAACAACGUACUCUAAACGGAUGGAUAAAGAGAUAGAAGAUGUGUACUGGCUGUACUCAAAUCAUCAGAUUAGUUAUGGGCCCUUAAUACUAUUUGGGGGCGAAGUGCUCGAGGCAGGACAUUUCUCCAGCCGCAUCCCCCACCCCAAUUAAGUCAGAUUCCUGUGUCAGAAAGGCGUUUGCAUAAACUCUGCUUACACCACCCAGUUCACUUUGUCUGUUAAAGUCCUAGUAGAUCCAUUCUGAUGAUGUGCUAAAACUUAAUGGAUCUUUCAGACGAUUAGCAUGCUAUCUUUAUCUGCUUGGGCACUUUCUUACGGAAUUCAGUUUAUUGUUGGAAUCCAGAAAACGCUUCAAUCCAGAAAGCUGCUUAAUCCUGUUGCACGGCUAGUAAGCUUAAGAAAAAGCUUGCAGAUCUUAAUACCUUUCAAGCUCCAAUAAUUCAGAUCUCAGCCGAACGUCCCGACUUUUUUUCCGUUCAAAGGACGACCUCAAAAGGAGGAAAGCGGGCAAAUGCUUUUACGUUUGAGUAUUGAAAAGUAGUUACAGAUGUAUCAGAAGUACCCCCCCAGUGGAGUUUUGUGUUGUAUUAUUCCAAACCACCCGAUGUAUGUAUAAAAUAUGCUUGCAAGGUAUUAAUCUUUACCCUUGUUGUUCUAAUAUUAAAUUCUAGCCCAUUCCCCCUUCUGUUUAAUUUACCCCUGAACGGAGAAGUUUGGAAAGCUAAAGAGCCAUGAUUCUGGAGUGUGUGUCUGUGGCGGGGGUGGGGAAUACCUUGCUGACUUUUAUGGUAUUUAAAAUAGUAAAAUAGCACUUUAAUUCUUCCACCGGUGAAGAAAUUCACUCCGUGCGAACUGACAAUUUGCUUAAAGAUUGAGUUUAGCACGCAUCAUUGUUAACUUGGUGAUCAGUACGAUUCUUUUUCCUGGACUCAGCCUGAUCCCCAAUUCCCAAGUAUCUCGGACAUCUUUGGAGGUUUCACUGCAGCCGAAAAAGACAGCCCGGCCCAAUUGGGUGACGGGCGAUCGCCGAACAUCGCUCGAGGCGGGGGCUCCUCGGCACCCUCCGGCAGAUCAGCCCCCCCCCCCCCAAAAAAAGAAAAAGAUCGAAGACAGCGGAUCAAGGAUUUCAGUAUUUGUGGAUUGUAGGACACAUUUGCAGAAUUUACUGAACAGGGGUCUUUCUGGCUGAGGAAUUGUGGGAGUUGAAGUCCACAAGUCUUAAAGUUGCCAAGGCAGCUUUAUUUUUUUUCUAUGUUUCCUCUGUCUUCCUGUAUAUACAGGAGCAAAAAGGCAGCCAGAUCAAUCCAGGGGCAAUGAACAGAUAAAUCCAUCUGGCCCAGCCUUUCUUGGCAGCUCCAUAUGAGUAGUCUGGAACGCCUG